rnacentral:rRNA from 1 species
GACGAACGCUGGCGGCGUGCCUAGCACAUGCAAGUCGAACGGAGUAAUUUCUUCGGAGAUUACUUAGUGGCGAACGGGUGAGUAACGCGUGAGAAACCUGCCUUUCAGUGGGGGACAACAGUUGGAAACGACUGCUAAUACCGCAUAAUGUUAUUUGGGGGCAUCCCUGAAUAACCAAAGCUUUAUGUGCUGAAAGAUGGUCUCGCGUCUGAUUAGCUAGAUGGCGGGGUAACGGCCCACCAUGGCGACGAUCAGUAGCCGGUCUGAGAGGAUGAACGGCCACAUUGGGACUGAGAUACGGCCCAGACUCCUACGGGAGGCAGCAGUGGGGAAUAUUGGGCUAUGGGGGAAACCCUGACCCAGCAACGCCGCGUGAAGGAAGAAGGCCUUCGGGUUGUAAACUUCUUUUACCAGGGACGAAGAACGUGACGGUACCUGGAGAAAAAGCAACGGCUAACUACGUGCCAGCAGCCGCCGUAACAC